rnacentral:rRNA from 1 species
GUGCCAGCCGCCGCGGUAAUACCGGCAGCCCAAGUGAUGUCCCAUAUUAUUGGGCCUAAAGCGUCCGUAGCUGGCCGACCAAGUCUCCCGGGAAAUCCACCUGCCCAACAGGUGGGCGUCCGGCGGAAACUGUGUGGCUUGGAACCGGAAGGCUCAGAGGGUACGUCCGGGGUAGGAGUGAAAUCCCGUAAUCCCGGGCGGACCACCGAUGGCGAAAGCACUCUGAGAAGACGGCUACGACAGUGAGGGACGAAAGCUCGGGUCUCAAACCGGAUUAGAAACCCCUGUAGUCC